AUUAAACUCUACCUAUACAAGUUGGGCAACAGUGCCCUAAAACGCUAAUCACCUCUUUGUGCUUACCUCUCCCGAAGUCGCCGAUCCACACUGAGAGCUCGACGGCCAUCUCAACACCGGAUCGCGCCGGCGCCACAUCGUUAGUCGAGUCUCCAAUCUCCUCAACUUCUCAUUUGUAGCGUUCCUCUCCGAAAUGCUGCCUCGAGUCAAGGAUCUUCAGUUGGGUGAGGGGAUUUGAGCUCCGGUGUCGUUGGAGUUGAAUCGCCGGUCCCAAGGCCCGAUCUUGGUUGAGAGGGUGUGCUCCAAACGGCGGUCUCAUCUUCUCAAGCCCUAAAGCCGGGUUUUCUGUCGGAUUCCCUUCGCCGCUUGUGGGGGGUAUGCCAUCGAGGUAGGUUGAGUGGCACACCGUAAAGGACUCGGCCACAAAAUUUCCAGCAGCAAAUUUCAUCGGUGGGCAUUCUAAGCAGCUAUUCUCCGGUCGUGAACCACUAGCUUUGUAGAAGCUCCAGUUGUGGAUCUGUGGAAGCAGGCAUCACCAGUGGGCUUGUGCUAGCAAUUUCACCGCCUGGCAGUGGGUCAACAGAGAACUUUGAUCGAGGCUGGUGUCGUGACAAAGGUGACAUCGGAUUCAGACUACUUUUAGAGGCGGAUAGUUGAUACCAGUACACUUGGUGGUGGAUCCUGAUUGUCGGUCCCACGGCACAUACGAGGACGGGUUUCUAGUUUUGUUUUCCGUUUUGGUUGUAUUUUGAACUUGUGAAGUUGGUAUUGUAAUAAUUCCUCGUGAACUUGAUGUUUUGGCUUGCGGUAUCUUGUACUUGGUUUUAUUGUUGUAGAGUUAAGCCGGGUCGGCCCGCUGUGAGUAGUUUUUGAUGUGUUGUGCCUGAUAUUUGGUUUUUCCGCUGUGUUUUUUUCAGUCAUGUGGGCUACAUAGUAUCUGCGUGAUUAUGCUUUGUUCCAGCCGUGUGAGUUGUAUUAUAAACUGUGUGGAUAUGUGUCGAUCCAGCCGUGUUGGCUAUGAAUUGCAUAUGAGUAACUUUUGGCUAUGUGUACUGGUUUCAUUUAUCUCUGCUUUACGGGAGGUGUUGUCCGAUUUUCGUCGGACAACCUUACCCUCGGUAUCUUGUACUUGGUUUUAUUGUCGUAGAGUCAAGCUGGGCUGAUCCGCGGUGAGUAGUUUUUGAUGUGUUGCGCUUGAUAUUUGGUUUUUCC